UGGGGAAUAUUGCACAAUGGGCGCAAGCCUGAUGCAGCCAUGCCGCGUGUAUGAAGUAGGCCUUCGGGUUGUAAAGUACUUUCAGCGGGGAGGAAGGGAGUAAAGUUAAUACCUUUGCUCAUUGACGUUACCCGCAGAAGAAGCACCGGCUAACUCCGUGCCAGCAGCCGCGGUAAUACGGAGGGUGCAAGCGUUAAUCGGAAUUACUGGGCGUAAAGCGCACGCAGGCGGUUUGUUAAGUCAGAUGUGAAAUCCCCGGGCUCAACCUGGGAACUGCAUCUGAUACUGGCAAGCUUGAGUCUCGUAGAGGGGGGUAGAAUUCCAGGUGUAGCGGUGAAAUGCGUAGAGAUCUGGAGGAAUACCGGUGGCGAAGGCGGCCCCCUGGACGAAGACUGACGCUCAGGUGCGAAGGCGUGGGGAGCAAACAGG
rnacentral:rRNA from 1 species